rnacentral:rRNA from 1 species
GAAUAUUGGACAAUGGGGGGAACCCUGAUCCAGCCAUGCCGCGUGUGUGAAGAAGGCCUUUUGGUUGUAAAGCACUUUAAGCGAGGAGGAGGCUACUUAGAUUAAUACUCUAGGAUAGUGGACGUUACUCGCAGAAUAAGCACCGGCUAACACGGUGCCAGCCGCCGCGGUAAGACAGAGGGUGCAAGCGUUAAUCGGAUUUACUGGGCGUAAAGCGCGCGUAGGUGGCCAAUUAAGUCAAAUGUGAAAUCCCCGAGCUUAACUUGUGAACUGCAUUCGAUACUGGUUGGCCAGAGUAUGGGAGAGGAUGGUAGAAUUCCAGGUGUAGCGGUGAAAUGCGUAGAGAUCUGGAGGAAUACCGAUGGCGAAGGCAGCCAUCUGGGCUAAUACUGACACUGAGGUGCGAAAGCAUGGGGAGCAAACA